GACGAACGCUGGCGGCGUGCUUAACACAUGCAAGUCGAACGGAAAGGCCCUGCUUUUGUGGGGUGCUCGAGUGGCGAACGGGUGAGUAACACGUGAGUAACCUGCCCUUGACUUUGGGAUAACUUCAGGAAACUGGGGCUAAUACCGGAUAGGAGCUCCUGCUGCAUGGUGGGGGUUGGAAAGUUUCGGCGGUUGGGGAUGGACUCGCGGCUUAUCAGCUUGUUGGUGGGGUAGUGGCUUACCAAGGCUUUGACGGGUAGCCGGCCUGAGAGGGUGACUGGCCACAUUGGGACUGAGAUACGGCCCAGACUCCUACGGGAGGCAGCAGUGGGGAAUAUUGCACAAUGGCCGGAAGCCUGAUGCAGCAACGCCGCGUGCGGGAUGACGGCCUUCGGGUUGUAAACCGCUUUCGCCUGUGACGAAGCGUGAGUGACGGUAAUGGGUAAAGAAGCACCGGCUAACUACGUG
rnacentral:rRNA from 1 species